rnacentral:rRNA from 1 species
AACAGGAUUAGAUACCCUGGUAGUCCAUGCCGUAAACGUUGGGCACUAGGUGUGGGGGACAUUCCACGUUUUCCGCGCCGUAGCUAACGCAUUAAGUGCCCCGCCUGGGGAGUACGGCCGCAAGGCUAAAACUCAAAGGAAUUGACGGGGGCCCGCACAAGCGGCGGAGCAUGCGGAUUAAUUCGAUGCAACGCGAAGAACCUUACCAAGGCUUGACAUGGACCGGACCGGGCUGGAAACAGUCCUUCCCCUUUGGGGCCGGUUCACAGGUGGUGCAUGGUUGUCGUCAGCUCGUGUCGUGAGAUGUUGGGUUAAGUCCCGCAACGAGCGCAACCCUCGUUCCAUGUUGCCAGCGCGUAAUGGCGGGGACUCAUGGGAGACUGCCGGGGUCAACUCGGAGGAAGGUGGGGACGACGUCAAAUCAUCAUGCCCCUUAUGUCUUGGGCUUCACGCAUGCUACAAUGGCCGGUACAAAGGGUUGCGAUACUGUGAGGUGGAGCUAAUCCCAAAAAGCCGGUCUCAGUUCGGAUUGGGGUCUGCAACUCGACCCCAUGAAGUCGGAGUCGCUAGUAAUCGCAGAUCAGCAACGCUGCGGUGAAUACGUUCCCGGGCCUUGUACACACCGCCCGUCAAGUCACGAAAGUUGGUAACACCCGAAGCCGGUGGCCUAACCCCUUGUGGGAGGGAGCUGUCGAAGGUGGGACUGGCGAUUGGGACUAAGUCGUAACAAGGUAACC